rnacentral:rRNA from 1 species
GGCGGCGUGCCUAAUACAUGCAAGUCGAACGCUUUUUCUUUCACCGGAGCUUGCUCCACCGAAAGAAAAAGAGUGGCGAACGGGUGAGUAACACGUGGGUAACCUGCCCAUCAGAAGGGGAUAACACUUGGAAACAGGUGCUAAUACCGUAUAACACUAUUUUCCGCAUGGAAGAAAGUUGAAAGGCGCUUUUGCGUCACUGAUGGAUGGACCCGCGGUGCAUUAGCUAGUUGGUGAGGUAACGGCUCACCAAGGCAACGAUGCAUAGCCGACCUGAGAGGGUGAUCGGCCACACUGGGACUGAGACACGGCCCAGACUCCUACGGGAGGCAGCAGUAGGGAAUCUUCGGCAAUGGACGAAAGUCUGACCGAGCAACGCCGCGUGAGUGAAGAAGGUUUUCGGAUCGUAAAACUCUGUUGUUAGAGAAGAACAAGGAUGAGAGUAAAACGUUCAUCCCUUGACGGUAUCUAACCAGAAAGCCACGGCUAACUACGUGCCAGCAGCCGCGGUAAUACGUAGGUGGCAAGCGUUGUCCGGAUUUAUUGGGCGUAAAGCGAGCGCAGGCGGUUUCUUAAGUCUGAUGUGAAAGCCCCCGGCUCAACCGGGGAGGGUCAUUGGAAACUGGGAGACUUGAGUGCAGAAGAGGAGAGUGGAAUUCCAUGUGUAGCGGUGAAAUGCGUAGAUAUAUGGAGGAACACCAGUGGCGAAGGCGGCUCUCUGGUCUGUAACUGACGCUGAGGCUCGAAAGCGUGGGGAGCGAACAGGAUUAGAUACCCUGGUAGUCCACGC